GCCGCCCCGCACCCCUUCCCCCCUCCCGACCCCCUCGUGCGAGAAAUACAGCUCUGAGGGUGCUCCCCCAGCCCCCCCACAACGCCUCCCCCAAAUACCUCGCCGAGGUAUUAAAAAUAUUUCAUAACGAAUGGAAAGGUGGAAAAUCAUUCCCAGCCGUGCGGAGGGCGGCUCGCCCCCCCCCCUCCUCCUCUGCCUGCCUUCAACCUCGGGGGGAGGAUGGGCGGGGGUGGCAGCACCCCUGGGCCUCCCUUCUUCCCUCGCAGGUUGCGCCCGUGCGCAUCUCCGCGCGCAUCAGCCCCCCCUCCCCCCGCGCCUCCCUACCGCGCAACCCGCGCACCCCGCGCAGUGACCCCACGGCGAGUUCGAGUCCCGCGGGGAACGGAUCCCUCCGAGCUGCGGGGGUUGCUCUGGGGACGGCCUCCAGGGAUUUGUGUCUGAUUCGGUUUUAUCCCUUUCUGACACUUCUUUUUUUCUCGCUGAAGGGCAGCGGCGGUGCUCUGGGGUACGGGGCGAGGGGAUGCGAGGGGACCUCGGCUGCGCUCUGCCCGAGGAAGGGACCUUCUCUCCUCUUUAUUUUCUCGGCUCACUUUAACUGAUCCAUCCUGACACUCUAUUUUGCUUUCAAAUCAAGUAAAGAUGUGGGAGAGAACUUUUGAACUGUUUUAUGGAAAGUGGAGUGAAGCAAUGCUGCAGUGAGGGCUUUUUUCCUCCCUCGCCGGACUGAUGCGUCCGGCCCUGCACCUCUGAUGCCCAAAGCCUUUUGCAGCUCAGGGUGUGUACAGGGAGGGGGAAACGAAAUGUUUUGGUGGCAUUCGGCCCGUGACAGCCGGCGCAUCCCGGUGCCUCCCGGAGCCCCUCUGCACUUGGACCCCCACCGGCCCGGAGCUGCCCAAGGCGCAGGCGGCCAACGGCAGCGCUUCCAAAAAGUCGGGAUGAAAAAGUUGAAGGCUUAAUGUUUUCUGACAGAUACAAAUGAUACCCCAAGGCUUUCUUAAAACGCGGCGAAUGACGGGAGGAGAAAGGGUUUUCCUAUUCGGGUUUCUGCAGCUGGAAGCAAACGGGGUGGGGGGUUCUCCUCGGCCCUCCUGUCCCGAAAAUUAAACCAUCUCCUGGAAUAACUCCGUUUUUCCCAAGUGCCAUUCGGCACAGCCCCACUCUGGCUCUGCUCCGUGGCCUUCUCCGCAUCCCUCAGACCACGAGCACCGAGCCAUGCUCCGAGCAAAUCCGAAACCGCUGUCAGCAGCCGCUCGGGUUUAGUCCUGGUUGUCCGCAGCCUGAACCGAGUGGGAUCAGCAAUGCCACCGCCAGAGGAUGGACAGCUCGGGGUGCGCGGGCUGCUUCUCUCGGUGGGGAGGGGGAAGGAAGGGGGAAAGUGCCACAUAGUCCCACAAUUCCCUCUCCGAGCAGUGGGAACAUGCUUUUCUUAUUAAUUGAUGGAGGAAGGGGCACCGGCGCUUGCAAGGCAGCCUGCUCAUGUUACUCUGUGCAUCUCCAGGUCCGAAAUGUGUUUGGUUUGUGGACUAAAAAAGAUGCCUCUCGUGCAGGGCAGUCCAAGGCCCGCGCGAUCCGUUGGCAUUUUAUUGUGAUCGUUCUUCUGCAGAAAAAGGGGCUGCGUUUGGUACCACCGAUGCUGCGUUUCCUUGUGGGUUUCCCUCACCUUGUUUCGGGCGAGCAACCUCUUAAUUGCUGCAGCGUUUGGAUGGGGGAAACGCAUUUCCCCUAAACAGAACAUUUCCUGAAGGGCUGAAAUAUUCUAAUAACGCGCUUUAAUGUCCUCAGAACAGCCGUGAAUCUCUGCAGGGCCACGCGUUUCCUGCCUUAAAAAGCAAAAUCGGCGAAACAAUUCACCUUUGUGUGCACUCAGCACCCUCUCUUCUAUUUUCUUUUCUUUCCCUCCCUUCUUCCCCUCCUCCCCCCUUUUUCUUAUUUUUCCUCCCAUAGAUGCUCUGCGCUGCCCCGCGAUGAGGAGCGGGGACGACUUUCUUUCCAGUUUCAUUGUGGGAACGGCCGUAUCUUAACGGGCACAUCUCAGCGAGAGAUAGGAGAACACCACCGCCUUCCAGAGGGCUGCGCUAAUCAGCGCACGGGGCAAGAUAUAAAAGUUCAGGGCAAAUAAAACGAAUUAGUUUUAUUAGCACGUUUAGGAGGCGGUCUAACGAAGGAAUUCGGCUUUACUAGAGAAUGUUUUCUCCACCCCUUCUGUUAUUUAAAAGCAGCAUCUAUGCGGGCUGAUCGGGACGGGGGGGUGGGGGAGAAAUAACGCACCGCUCAACCCGCAGUGAUUUUCUCCGAGGAACGCGCCAUUCUCUCCACCCGGUAAGGAGCACAGAGCCCGGGAAAUACACGAUUUCACAAUGCAAUCUGCUCGAACAAUAAAACCAGUAGUAAAGGAGAGGCUCGGGGCCGAUCAGCGGCGGCUGUCGGGGGGAAAUCUCUGCCCCGCUCAGGGAUUCGUUCGGCUGAACCGCGUCCGGGGAACGGUGCCACCGCUCCGGCUCGGGAUGUCCAGGACUCGGCCCGUAUUUCAGGCACCAGAAGGAUUUUGGGGACGUUCUCCAAGCGAAGCAGCUCUCAGCAAUUAUUUGGACGUCGGGUUUUAGCUCAGAGGCGCAGGGAACGCAUCCCUGGGUCUGGGAGGCAGAAAUUACGUAUUUUAAGACUGUUAGGAAAUAAUCAAACGGCGUCUCGGUCCUCGCUAUCCGCACUGGGGUACCUCGCUAGGCACAUUUUUUUUUUUUUUGUUCAAUUCGUGUCUCGGCGUUUGUGUUCGCCUACAGCGAGGUCGGCAAAACUUAAGGAAUAAGGACGAAAUGACAGAAAACGCUCCUAGGGACGAUUUUUUACGCGACACCUGAAAAUUCUCCUAAGGGUACCGUCGGGGAGGAACUCCGCGCGUCCAUUCAACGGAGUUAACACGAGGGAAUAGAAGCCUUUUUCCACCGCUCCGAGAAUUUCGCCUCCGUUGGACAGAGCGGAGUUGCGGGACAUCGCUGGAGCGUGGGGCUUCCUAAAGGUGUGCCCAUUUUUUUUUUUUCAAUCAGAAAGUAAAUAACAACAAUAAUAAUAAUAAUAAUAAAACACACACACGCAAAGGAGAAAAAAAAAAAAGUAGGGGAACGGAAGAAUUUUCUUGUUCCGAAAAGGGAAUUAAUUGAACGGCAGCUCAGGCUCUCUCCGCCCGCAUCUCUUCCGCGGCCGCGCAGCCCCGGCUGAGACCCCCGCAGCCCCCCGCGCUCCCCAUCCCUCCACCUGUCCCGGCUCGGCCCCCCCGCGCUGCCAUCUCCGGACACCCCCGGGGCCCCGAUCCGACCGCCCCAUCCUAUAGUAGGGGCCGUGCUUUGCUCCGCGUUGCUCCGCGCUGCUCGGGAGAAGAACUCGGGGUUGAAAACGGUGCGCUUACGAUAAAAUAAUAGCACAACAACAACGACGGCGACAAAAAUCUGAAAUAAAGUGAGAGAGAAGCCCUGAAGAAACGCUACUGCUGCAGUGUUUGGUAUGGAAGUGAGGCAGCAAACAGAGCUGGAGCAGGGGCUGGAGGGAGGCCACAGGGCUGCAGGGAUGAGUUGCACGGGUCUGGAACACUCUGCUGCUCCUGCAGCCCUACAUCCCUCCCCAAACCCUUUAUCCAUUUUAAUUUUCCAGGGAAAGUUUUGAAGUUUCAGAUGCUUUGCUUCCAAUGCGUGCCCCCCUCUUGGGCUUUGGAGAGCCUAACGGGUCAUUCUGAAAAGAGCAGCGUGCAAGGUCCAGGCAAGCACUGCAGUGGGGACAUGGCUUGUGCUUUGCUAAGGACAGAAGGAUACACAUGCACGUACACCCGGCCCAUAGCCACAGCCGAAAACCAAGGACAACGAAUAUGGAAUGGAUCAGAAAGAUAAAUAGCAUAAAAUCAGGAACAGUCCGGUCCCACACUUGCCAUUUGUUAUAGAGAGAAGAAGUAAAUGGGAUUCACAUGUCGAGCAUUAGCUGGUUGUUAGUCUGUAAGAUAAUAUUAACUUUAGUGCUUGCUGGUUUACUCCAGUUUUCCGAAGGCAGUUCCAGGAGGCGCCCAGCCUGUAAUUUAGGAUGGCACAUACUGUGUGAAAGAGGCUUUGGCACUGGGGCCUACCAGCACAUCAAGGUGAUAUUAACAUAAUAAAACGUUUGGAGAGCGAGUGGGAGCUCAUAAAUUAAUGCAUUCUACUGUUUUAAUGUGAGGAGCUAACAAUACGUUUCCUGUUGGGCUGAUCGUCCCGCUGCAGCCUAACAGCUGUUUUAAAGGUGCUGUGAAAUUAAAGAGAGGGAAGACGAUUGUCUUUAAAUCAAUGUUUAAUGAUGUGUUAUUAGGAGAAUAAGUCUUCCUCCAGCAGAUGUUUACAUGCAGAGGAUGGAGGGAGCUUCCCCGGCUGUCUGAGUGCCUGAGCAGUGUGGAUGAGAUGCCCCCAUGUCCCUCUUCGGAUGGUCCCAGUGUUCCCAGUGCAGGGUCAGGAAGGCUUGGCGGAGGGCUGGCACUGGGAAAGGCUUUGCCCACGUCUUCCAGUGGGAGCUGAGGAAACUCCUCCAGGAUACGGAAUGGCCACGAGGUUUUGAGUGGUGGCCAUGGACGGGUGAACAUGGGAAAAGGUAAAGACUUCCUAUUCACGUUCAGCACAGGUCAGGGCUGCUGGGAUCCUUUCCCUGUAACAAACAGAUGUGCAUAUGCACGUGUUGUAAAGAGAUCCCAUGCCUCCUUGCCUAGGAGAUGAUCCUUGCUGGGUAUGUGUGGGUUGGGAGCAUGACUGAGCCCCUGUGGAGGUAGAAUGAGGCUCAGAUAGGUCAGCAGGGCUGAGAUGCCUCUGGCCAUGCACUAACAGCAGGCUUCAGGUACUAGAAAAAUACAUGUACCUUUGAGGCAAGACUUGGGAGUGAGCUCUGGAAUGUGGUACCUGAAAUAAGGUACCUGCAAGCAUCAAUCUGUAGGCGCCCAAGACUUGUAAUUUCUUUUCUGCUUGGCCUGAAGAUGUAUGAAUGAAUCACCAUGUCUGUGGGUUUAAAAGAUGGCCAUCAUAAAGCUUCCCACCUAGAGAAAACAUCUGGCGGAUUCAGAUGCCAAAAGUACGUGGGGGUCGAUGCUGGGGAUGGCACAGGGUUGCUGGGGGCUGAUGGGAAGGUUCACCUGCUGCUGGGCACCUUAUUGUCAGGUGAACUCCUGCUGCAGGCCAUAAGAGCAUCAGAUCAUCUCCAGGCCAACCCAAGCUGUUUCCCAAAGGGUUGCUUCCAAAACCAAGCGUGGUGGUACAAAUUGCUCCUAUGCAAACAAAGGAACCCCUUGUAAGUGCUUACUUUCAUCAUCACAAACGUUCAUUAAAGUCUCUCUUUAUUUCCAAAUAUAGCAAAGAAAUGGCUCUCCAAGAUUGCCUGCUCCUUUAUUCAUGAUCUGUUAGUGCAUCUUUGGAAUAGUGUCCAGGAGGCUGCACAGCUUCUUUGGGAGAAACGGGGAUGUUUGGAACAUGAGUGGAUUCUAACAUUUCUAAACUUCCCAGAAGAGGCAGAUUGUAAAGGAAUAAGAUUCUUUCUGUGCACGCACAUUUGCUUUGGAGCCAAAUGGAAAGGAGAGCUCAGAAGAAAAAAAAAUGACAAAUUGUCUGGAAAAUGUUGUCCUUCCCAAGGCAGAAUGGGGGGGAACCAUAUGGAGGGAAGGCACUCAAUACCAAAUUUUUCCCUUUCAAUCCCAGUCCAGCAGCCCUCCCAUUCACUCUGCUAGGGGAUUGCUGUGAGUCAGACCCACAAGAUCAUCCAUUCAAAGCUGGUCAUAUUUCCAGCACUUCACUCCUCUCCUAUUCCCUGCUGAAGCAAGAUGGAAAGGGUUCCCCCCUCCCCAAAUGUAUGGUGAGAGCAGUGGGAUGGGACCCAGGGCCGUCCCCAUCCCUGCCAGUGAAGGAAAGGGCAGAGCUCCUCCGGUGCUCUGAAGCAGUGAUGAUAGACGUGGUUUCUUUCUGGACAAAAUGAGUGAUGUGUUGUGAUCUUGGUGGUGAGCUGGAGCACAGAAAGUACUUCCUAUGACAAAGAAACUCCUUCACUCCAUUCAGUCAUCAAACUUACCAUCUUUGUCAUCUUCAAGUAAUAAAUAAGCUCAAUAUUUUAUGCGUUCCCAACUAUUAAUGGUGACAUUUAUUGAAGAACAACAAAAGCUGCAGCAGUUGUGUACAUCAGCAGUUAACAGCAGUGGGCAGAGCGUGCAAGACUCUGAAGAAGACGUUGGGGAAAGAGUUUUUGUGUGUGGUUGUGUUUAUCCCCUGGUGACACGCCGCUAACAAGCUGCAAAGCAGAGAUCACCCACAACAAACAAACACAAACAAACAAAGUUUUGUGGAGGGUGGUAAGACUUAGUUUAAUUCUCUUAGGCCUUUAAAAAUAAUUAUAGCCCUGUUUGUGACAACUGGGAUGGCCACAUCGACUCCAAUAAAACUGCUUGUUAAUCUUUAGGAGUUACAUUUGGAGAUCUUUCCUUACACAGUGGGGACGCCAAUGGGGGUUGAUCACAAUCAAUGCAACGCAUCAAUGUGCAUCUCUAAUUGCAUCUCUCCUCUUUGCACGAGCAGUAGUUUUGACUCUGCAAAUUGUGGUCAGCUGUUUACUUGCCAGUUAAGUUGCAACACGUUUAAUGACUUACAAGAGAUCUGUCAGAGGACUUACUGCUGCCAAAGAACAGGAUCUGGGGGAUUUUAGCAUUAGUGAAAAGUUACUUAAGGUCUGCAUGUCAAUCCAAGUAUCCCUGCUGCAGUUAUAUUUCAUGCACUAUAGACUGUGUGAGAAGAUGAUAAAUGCCAUAUAUGCCUGAAGGAUAACAUGUACCCCAUGUUCUCAAAAUGCAUCAUUGCAUUUGGCUCCAGAUGUGCUGUGUAUUGCUUGGCUGUGCUUUGCCAGCACAGCAAUGUUGUGGCUCACACACUUUCAGGGUGCAGUGCUGAGUCUUCACGUGCCACCUGUGAGCCCUUGGCAACUGCCUUGGUGGGAAAAGGGAUCCUGCGUAGAUAAGCAUACUCAAUUCCACCUCUAGCUGAGAACCAUUUAGAUCUAUAGAAUCAUUAAGGUCAGAAAAGACCACUAUGAUCAUCUGUCCAACCAUCAACCCAUCACCACCACAUUUUGGCUUUAACAGGGAGUGACUAAACACACAUUUAAGGGUAACAAUGUUCUCACUUAUGGAGUGGCAAGUGAGAUCAUAGAAGUGCCAUCUUUGGAGACCUAUCACUGAGUAUUUCCUUUGCUCCUCCCACUGGGGAGGCUUUGAGCUGGGACAGGGGGCAGGAGAGCAGACAGGAGCAGAGCUGCGUCAGCUCCUGCCAGUGAGACCAUCUCCAUGCGCCAUCACUGCUGUAUCUGUUACCAUUAAUGACUUCUACAGUUGCUCUAAGACCAUUUAAGUACUUUGUGACGAUCUGAAACUCACCUCCACCCUGCACACGGGUCCCAAGUGUUAAUUUUUGGAGGUGAGCACGCUGGCCUGGGAGGGGCAAUGAGACAGGGAUUUAUUUGGCAGCGGUUACACCGCCUCCUGGCAGCAUCCGUGAGGCCUCAUACAAAUGAGAACUGAUGGCUUAAUGUUUUGUUGCAUUUUCCCACCAGAGUCAUUACCUCUUCAUUGUGGGGAUGGAUUAAACCGAAGAGGGGAUGCUCAGGGAGAGGCUGCCCUGUGUUGGCCUUGAGCUGCCAUGCCUCUGCCCCCUGCUCUGCCUCCUGCAUCCUCCCCUUGCUGCCCCUGCACAGAAACUCCAGCGUGCACAGAGCACCUCUUUGUCAGGGAGCUGUAGAGAGAAAUAAGGUCUGAAGGUAUUAAAGGGCUGAGCCCUGUCCUGCUGAAACAUGGUGGAACUGAACCAAAAAUACUUGCAGCAAUGAGAAAGCAUCCAUGGAUCUCAAGUGAAUGAACUUGGGUGCAGACAUGUUUGGAAAACCAAUGAAUUGUCCUUGUGCAUAUCUUCAAAAUACCACUAGCACUUUUGCUUUCCCAAGGGGAUCAUCUACAGCAGAAGACUAACCUGGGUCCCUCCCAGCCAUGGGGCUGAUCACAAGAUAAUCACCAGAACUGGGUACCAGGUCAGAAUUACACACCCAUGUGGAAUGCGUUUGCAGAAGAGAAGUCCUCAUUUGCCUGUGAGCAAGGGAACAAAGGCAUUCAUCCAGCUCAGUGAAACGCCGUGAGAUCCAUGGGGGAAAAGCACUAAGUAUUGCAAUUAUUAUUUACUAUAUAUUAAUAUUAGCUAUUCAGAGGAUUUGUGUGUGGAGGAAACUUGGAGGAUCUGGUCUGGUUCUGUGUGUGUCGGGGCUCUUGAGGGAUUUUUUUAGUGUCUACCAUAAUUAAAGAUGAGGACUGAGUGAAACCUUGUGGUUUUACUCCACAAGACAUUAAGUUCAGUGAACUAUUCCCAUGGUUUCCCAAGAAAAGAUGAAAAAAAAUCGUUCAGAAUGUAUUUCAACAGUGAUUCAGCAGUGUGGCAAGAGUGGAGGCUCUGUAGGGAUCACACGUGCCCAAGAGGGAAAGCCAUCAUAGAACAAAGUGAGAGUGUCAGAUAUCUUAAUUCUUCUCUCUCUCCUCAUCCCUGAAGGCAUAAUCCACCUGCUUGCCCUGCACACAGCGCUGGCUUUGCCUCUAUGUUGCUUGCAGUCAUAGGGCCUUUGUGUGAAGUCCACCUGGCUGGGGCUUCCCUUGUUCACCAAAGGAGAGCAGAGCAAUCCUCACCGACCUGAGGGAGCCUGAUUGUCAUGUUUUGAAAGAUGACACGUCCUGCUGGGAGAACAGCAAAAAUUGCCAGAAAACAUUUAAG
rnacentral:lncRNA from 1 species